rnacentral:piRNA from 3 species
UCAAUCUCUGACGAUGCAGGACUCACUGU